UACGUAGGGUGCGAGCGUUAAUCGGAUUUACUGGGCGUAAAGCGUGCGCAGGCGGCCCGUUAAGACAGGUGUGAAAUCCCUGGGCUCAACCUAGGAAUUGCGCUUGUGACUGGCGGGCUCGAGUACGGUAGAAGGGGGUGGAAUUCCUGGUGUAGCAGUGAAAUGCGUAGAGAUCAGGAGGAACACCGAUGGCGAAGGCAGCCCCCUGGGCCUGUACUGACGCUCAUGCACGAAAGCGUGGGGAGCAAACAGG
rnacentral:rRNA from 1 species